UACAGAGGCCCCAAGCGUUACUGAGAAUCACUGGGUUUAAAGGGUGCGUAGGUGGCGCGUUAAGUCCGUUGUGAAAUCCCUUGGCUCAACCAAGGAAUGGCUUCGGAUACUGGCGUGCUUGAGGCUAGUAGGGGUCACUGGAACUGACGGUGGAGCGGUGAAAUGCGUAGAUAUCAGGAGGAACACCUGUGGCGAAAGCGGCUCACUGGACCAUAACUGACGCUGAUGCACGAAAGCUAGGGGAGCAAACCGG
rnacentral:rRNA from 1 species